GCUCAGGUUGCGUACAAACUUUUACGCGUUUGCAGUUUUAAGAACGCGCCUGGAAAUUACAUCAACAGUUUCGAGUUGUCUGCUUGUCACUUGUCAGUUUGUUUUUUUCCAAAAGUCAGACAAGAGUUAAUUGCUGGUUAAUUGAGGCUCAAAAGUCAAAAUAGGCGUUGUUUGUGAAAAAUAUUUUGUCUUUGAAUCAAAUUGUUACACCAGUUAAAGGAAACAGGAGUUUAUCAUCAGAAGAGAUUAAGCAUUAUCAUUCAUCAGUACUACAACCAGGUGGUAUUGGAUGUCAAAUGAAUUUUAGAAUGCUUCCCUCCAGGUAUUAAUGAAAAUAUUCAAGCAGACCUCAAAGUAAAAGUCACAGAGCUGAUAAUAAGAGUUCUGAUAGCAAAUGAAGGUCUCCAUUACUAUCAGGAGAAGAGAAAAGUCACAGUGUGUCAUGCAGACUUUCCCAAUCACAUUUCCAACUGUUUAUGGGACCAGAUAUGGAGCCUACAAUGAAAAUGUAUGCACUAGUCAAAAAUGAAAAUCGUGAUUUGUACAAUUAUUUGAUGAGGUUGGAGCUAGGGACAAUUUUCUGCCUUCCGUGGGCGAUUACUUGGUUUGGCCAUGUUCUCAACGAUUAGGAAACUGUCGUAAGAUUGUUUGAUGUAUUUAUGUUCUCACAUCCAUGGACCUCUAUGUAUCUAUCUGUUGUCGUCGUGUUGCAUAGCGCAAGUGAUAUUUUCUUGACACCGUGUGAGAUGCCGCUUCUACAUCAAAUGCUCUCCAACGUCCCUGAUAAUCUACCAUUUGAUAGUCUUAUUACUGAAACAGAAAAGUUGAUGCGAACCUAUCCACCAGAUGUAAUGGAAACAGUUGUCCGAGAGAUGCACGCUGAAAAUAUUCGUAAGAUAAAGGAAGAGGACGAAGAGAGGAAAAGGAGAAUGGAACAGAGAAAGGCUGCUUUACAAGGGAAACAUAAAAAAGCGGCGAUUCAACGUUGGACUCCUUGGUCUGGAUUCAGAAAUUUAAGAUCCCAAACUGCGAAGGUUGUUGCACUUAGCGUAAGCGUUGCAACAUUCGCAUUUAUUUAUAACUAUUUUGAAGUUCCAUUUGUCAUGUUUAAAUGCUUGUCAUACCCAAUAAUUAAGAAAAACAGAAAAUUUCAUAAUAUUGAAUAUUGUGCCUGUUGUGUUCCUCUUCUGUUAAAGAGCAUUCCUAUAUUUCAAAUUUUAUGAAUGUGAAAAAUGUAAUUAAAUAAACUGGUUUGUAUUCAUUA
rnacentral:lncRNA from 1 species